rnacentral:rRNA from 1 species
UGCAGCGGAUCCGCAUGGAUAUGUUGUUAAAGGUUUACCGCCUUGGGAUAGGCUUGCGUCUGAUUAGCUAGUUGGUGUGGUAACGGCACACCAAGGCUACGAUCAGUAACUGGUCUGAGAGGAUGAUCAGUCACACUGGAACUGAGACACGGUCCAGACUCCUACGGGAGGCAGCAGUGAGGAAUAUUGGGCAAUGCUCGAAAGAGUGACCCAGCAACGCCGCGUGGAGGAUGAAGGUAUUCUAUAUCGUAAACUCCUGUGAGAGCAGACGAAAGACAGAUUAUUAAUCUGGAUGACUGUAUGCUCAGAGGAAGCCCCGGCUAACUACGUG